GCUGUGUGCUACUGUUGCUGCGUGUGAUGUUGGUGUGUGCUGCUACUGUGUGUGUUGUUGUGUGCUGCUACUGUGUGCUGUUGUGCUGCUACUGUGUGUGUUGCUCCUGUGUGUCUAUUAUGUGUUGCUGUGCGUGCUGCUACUGCGUGUGAUGUUGGUGUGUAUUGUUGUGUGCUGCUACUGUGUGUUGCUGUUGUGUGCUGCUACUGCGUGUGAUGUUGGUGUGUGUUAUUGUGUGCUGCUACUGUGUGUUGUUGUUGUGUGCUGCUACUACGUGCUGUUGUGUGCUGCUACUGCCUGUUGUUGUGUGCUGCUACUGCCUGUUGUUGUGUGCUGCUACUGCAUGUGUUGUUGCUGUGUGUUGUUGUGUGCUGUUACUGCGUGUGUUGUUGUGUGCUGCUACUGCGUGUGCUGUUGUGUGUUGCUAUUGUCUGUUGUUGUGUGCUACUACUGCUUGUGUUGUGGUUGUGUGCUGCUAUUGCGUGUACUGCCACUGCAUGUUGUUGUGGAUGUGUGUUGCUACUGUGUGUGUUGUUGAUGUGUGCUAUUACUGCGUGUGUUGUUGUUGUGUGUUGUUAUUGUAAGUUGUUGAUUCAUGUUGCUGCUACUACGUAUUGCUGCUUCUACUAAAAUUAACUGUUACUACACUAAAUUAUUGAAAAUUACUACUGUAUUUUAUUUACUGAAAAAUCUCAAAAUGAAAGACUUUUCUCUUCUAAAAGUAUAUUUAAUUAGUGUAGGGUUAGUUUGGUAAAUUAAAUCAUGGCACAUGGCAUGUAGAGAAAAAAUUGUCCUUAUUUGUUUAACAACAGAAUAAAUGGAUUUAUUUAUGUUUUAAAUCUUUUUGAAUGAUGUAUAAGUGAUUUGCAAUAAAAGUAACAGUGAAACAUGCUCUGCCAAUUACCCACGAUUUCUUAUAAAUGUGGCUAAGUAUAUAUUUUAUUAUUUUUUACAUUUUUUUUCUGAACUCAAAACUAUUUAAAAAUCUACAGAAAAUUACAUAGUAGCACACGACCAAAUUUAAAAACACAAAAAACCCAUUUUUGAUAAUUUUUGUACAAAUUAGGGCAAAAGCCUGAGGCCCAUAAUCUAUGGUACCAAGCCUAAUCCGAUUUUUCUCUGCUAAAUGACCAAAAUACCCAACUUCACAACAGAAUUACAAUUAAUACCAUAUAAUAUAUAUAUAUAUAUAUAUAUAUAUAUAUAUAUAUNNNNNNNNNNNNNNNNNNNNAAGUCGACAUUAGCAGUUAGAUUUGCGGUAGUAAUAGCCAUUUCGUCGUCAGUAGCAGAAAGUUUCUAAUAACAACAGUAGCAGCUUUAUAAAGGUCUCAUAUCGCAACAUUAGCAGCUUUGUUUGAUUCCGGAGAAUUGCCUAAAAUAACACCUUUUUAUCGGGUGCUACUGUGCUACUUGAUAGUAGCACCCAAUGUGCUACUGUGCUACUCGGCAGUGUGCUACUAUGCUAUCGUUGACAGUAGCAGUUGAUAUGUAGUGAAGGGUAUUAUGGUAAAAUUAUUGUGACAGAUGGCAUGUGGAUAUUAAUUUGUCCUAAUUUGUUAAUAUUUGUCCUUAAAUGUGUAAGAUAUUGUGUAAAUGAUGUAUUUGUAAACUGAAAUUUGGUUAGUAACUUUAUUGUAAUUUACUAAAAAAUCUAAUUAUAUAUGUAGCGGGACCCUCGUGUCGCCCUCUCUCUCCCUUUUCUCACUUCACUCUUCCAGAAAAUCACCUGUUUCUUCUUCGUCUAAAUGACUAAAUCCUUCCCCAGCAACAACAACAACAAAAAACAAAAACAAAAGAACCACCACCCGCAACAAUCUCCUCUUUGUCCGAAAAUCUCAAUGCCUCACCAGCUCUGAUUUCCCUUUUUUUCUAAUUUCUAUUUUCUUCUCUGAAAUCUCGAAUCCAAUAACCCUAAUUUUCUCAAUUCUACGAAUCCUGAUCGUGAAUUGGGUUUUUUUUAAUUUUUUUAUGGAGUUGUAGCUUGAGAAGGAGCCGCCGUCCAUGGCGGCGAAGGCGAAUAGCGCGAACUCGUACCACAAGCUUAACGGGGUCCGUCGCUGACGCACCCGGCGUGGUUCGAAAUAGGCGUCUUCUACUUCCGGAUCGCGCCAUGCAUGAUCGACUUUAGAUUGGAUUGGAUCUGGGUUUUGAGCCGGGUUUAGGCUGCCGGCGUCUAUCGCUUCAUAUCGUAAUUCUCUUUAAUUUGCUUUCUUUGAUAUACUCUAUCUAACUUAGUCAGAACUAAAAUUAGGUUUACUGUCGAAAAAACUAAAAUUAGGUUUGUGGAUCAUAUAGGUGACCGGAUGAUCGCUUGAGGAAUCAAAGGGAAGCUCUAUCAAUUACGGAAGCUGAUGAUUUUUCUCUUUCUCUGUCUUGUUAGCUAUUAGUGUAUUGACGUGUGAAUUAAUAUCAAACUUUGGAAGUGUUUCUUUAACAAACAAAUGGAAAGAUUGCUACUUUUCUUUGUUUACAACUAGGCUUCUAUUAUAGAUUUUUGGUACUGCCUGUCAUAAAUCAUGACGCAGUUGUGCUAGUAUACUGCUUGGUUACAUUAGGCAUUUUACUUGAGACAUACAUUUCCAGUUUAUUAGUCUGUAAUAGUUUCAAAGGUAUUUAACAGUAUACAUUUGGUUUGGUAUCCACUAUUUUAUUUUCGCAUUUGUAUCAAUACUACGAACUCCUUAAUACCAUAUAGAGAUAAAUAUAAAGUACAAAUGAUGUCUAGAGAGUAUGAAACUCUAUCAUGUUUGAAAGUAUAUGAAACAAUGUUUUUCUUUUCCUAUUUAUUACGUACUUCAUCCAUUUGGUCCUCUUACUUCUCUGAUAUAGACUAUUACAAUACGCAGGAAGCUGUAGCUAUGACCACUACCAUCCAUGAAAAGAUUUUUAGAAAUGGUUAUUGGUAAGUCCAUCUUUCAACUCUAAAAUAUAAUUUCAUAGUCCAACCACUGAUCACUAUUAAAAAGCUGAACAGGUGCUUGUGCCAAGAAAGAUUAUUUAUCAUACUACAGUACAUGUUUCAAGUUGUUUAUAUAUGGAUAUGUAUAAAUAGAGAUACUGAUUUAGGAACAAGACUGAAAGCAACAGAGCAAAAGUUGGUAGGAAAAGAUUUAGAUGUGCGUUGGGAGUGUGAAUUUAUAGAUAUCUAAAAUUGUAAAACUUAUGUGUGUAUCUCAUACUAUUUUGCACAAUUAUGACAUAGGAUUGCAGCUGUUUUGUAGUCCUGUGGCAACCUGUUCAGGUAUCCCACAGCACUGAUCGUGUGCUUACCGAUUAAAGAUCUUAGUUUAAUGGUCAGUACGUGGGCUCUAUUCUUUAUGCAUAAUGGUUCUUUUGAAUUUUUGGUUAUUGCAUUUGCAUGUUUAAAGUUGUGGCUGACCAAAAUCUCUAUCGCUUGUUUUGUAUUUCUUUCAGCUUGCUAGGCAUACGUCCUAAUCAGAUGAAGAGCCAUAAUUGUGGCCAAAGGGUAAGUUGAAGCUCAUAGAUGUACAAGUACAACAUGCAGUUUGUUGCCAACUUGGCUUUAGCAUGAAGACCUAAUGAAUUAGUGUUAUUAAUUGUGUGUUCAAUUGAACAAUUUGGCUAAUUAUACCCAUGGUACAGUAGUUGGAAACUUCAUACAUAAAGUAUGUACUUGUAAAUUUCAUUUAUAUCUACAAUUAUUGAUUAUUGUUAUAUGACACAGGUUUCACUUGGAGUUUAACAAAGAAGUUUGGAUCGAAGUAACAAAUUUGGAAGAGUUGUAAGUACAUGACUUGGUAUCUUUGCAUGUGUUAUAUUUUGUACACUACUUUAAAAUGCUAUUUGUGUUCUUGCUUUGAUUGAUUUCAUCUUAUUAGCUAUAAUAACCUGUGCCAUUAUAAGAGCUUUAUAUCUCUUGUUUUAUUACUUGUUGGCAGAUAACUAAGUCAUUGCCCUAUAUGAAUAACACCCUUUUUUAGUAUGAAAAUUUACCCAAGUAGUGGAAUACUUUGGAGUUGAAAGGUGGUGUAUUCAUGGCAGCUCUGGUUGAUCUGUUACACCUGGAUUUCAAGUAAGCUCAUAUCUUGUAUUGUAGUUGCUAUUUAUUAUUUGAGUAACGACUUUUGUUUCAUACUUGAGGUAUCAUAUUUAUAACUUCCGUUUAUACGCAGAAUUUUCAAGAGUUGAAGUGGUCAUCGGAGCUUAACAAGAGGUUUAAGUCACUUAAAUAGUAGAGUUGGUUGUUGGAGGGGUAUGAUGUAUUCCUGGGUGGUAAACCCUUGUAUAAGAAUUUUUUCUUGUUUCUAUUUUCGGUACUAGGAGACGGUUGCUGUAUUUUUAGUCAUUAAUGUGGAGAAGUUAAUAAUGCUAGAAUUUAAAAAUAUUUUAGUUAUCAACUUUCCACUUUCAGUUUUUGUUUGACAAGGAAAAAAAAAUAUUGCAAUUUUUGUGUAGAUGGGCCCCACCAAAUCAGAAUGUGAAUUUAAAUAGUAAAGACGGGCCCACACUGUAGUCAGGUCCUGAAUUAACCUACACGGUCACAUCCAACACAAAAUGUGGCAAUUUCUUUGUUUGCAGCGGCCCUGUUGCCCACGGACCCAGAAAGUGUGGUUUUGGCCUUUUGGGUCUAUUUUGCCACACUUAAUGAAUGUGGUCAUAGGCUAGAAAUGUAGUAGUGAUUUUUGUUCACUUGUUACUUUCUCCUAAAAAACGAGUCAUUGAUAGCAAGUAAAAUCGAUGAUAUGCAAUAUAAGUAAUAGAACUACAUAUAAUCUGAUGAUUACAUAUCCAAAUAUGAAAACUCUUUUUUUUUCUUUUCUUUUUUUUUCGUUGGUUGCCCGAUUAAUCUAAGUCGGUAGUCUAUUUUGCCACACUUAAUGAAUGUGGUCAUAGGUCAGAAAUGUAGUAGUGAUUUUUGUUCACUUAUUACUUUCUCCUAAAAAACGAGUCAUUGAUAGCAAGUAAAAUCGAUGAUAUGCAAUAUAAGUAAUAGAACUACAUAUAAUCUGAUGAUUACAUAGUCCAAAUAUGAAAACUCUUUUUUUUCUUUUUUUUUUUUUUGUUGCUCGAUCAAUCAAGUCGGAUCUCACACUAGGAUCUAAAGUACAACACUCAUUGUGAUAUCCAUGAGAGCACUCAAUUCAAAAUUUCCAUAUAUUUACUUUGACAAACUAUCAUCUACAAAAGGGUUCCAUGGUCUAGCGGUUAGGACAUCAGACUCUGAAUCUGGUAACCCGAGUUCAAAUCUCGGUGGAACCUUCUAUUUUUAUUUUCCGUGACUUUAAUGUCACUUUUAUUCUCAGCUCUUGUUUUAUGAGCUCCUGAAUUUAAAUCCUACAGUGCGAUGAAAGCAGUCUAAUAUUGGUAUGGAACUACAAACUCGUGUAUAUAUAUGCACCUGACCAGUGUACAAUUCUUUAAGAAAUCAGCAGGGAGCCCAAAAACAGUACUACCUUAAAUAAGCACACAUGAGAUUUGCAUCUAUGGCUUGUAGUCCUGGUAAAAAUCUAUGAUAUAGUGCUAACAUUCUCAGUAGCUUUCCACUAUACUCUUCAGAGACUAACACAAUACAACAUACAUUUAAAAACACCGUGACAUAUUUACGACUGAGAUGGGGAAGGUACUGAAUGCGAAGUGCUAUUAAGCAUCCAGAUCCAUGGGGCAUGUUCCGUCGUCUACAUUGGCAUUUGGAUCAUAGAGUGGUGAGCUGGGAUCUGUGCAUCCCAGUACGAGAUCAAGGUUGCAACGGUCACCCUGCAAUGGCAUUUCGGUUAGCAAUAGGAUUACAGGGAUGGAUACAUAGUUGUGAAAAUGAAGAAUUUGCUUACUCCUUCAACGGUCAAGUUCCCCAUGAUGGAACAUCUAUUCACUACAAUGCUUGUAUCAGGGAAGAUUGCUCGUUCGCAAGCACCAUCUUUACUCAGCUCUUCCGCUAGUCCCUGCCAUAGACACUCUUUUGAGAAUUCUAAACAUGCGUGCAUCUACUGUCUAAUUUAUGAAAACAAAUACUUGUUCCUCCAAAACAAGAGCUUGGCAUUGGCAAGUACAGGAAACAGCAGUUUGAAGCUAGGGAUAAUAGAGUGAAAACAUUGACUGAAUGUCCUUUUACCUUGUUGAAGAAUUCAAUUGGUUUGUUUUUGAAAGCCUUGGGAACUUGAACUUGUAGUCUGUAAGGACCAUCCCAUUCAUCUCCAUUUGUAAAUGAAAAAAUUAAGUUCAGAGCUGGAGAAUAAUGAACAGUGUCAGCAAACAAAAUUGUAUGGCUAAGAAAUGAGAGAUGGAAUAAACAUAACACUACUAACCAUGCUUCGGAAUGCAAAUCUGGAUGGAAUAUAUUGGGGAAUCAGCUUUGCCUCGACUUUUCCUAAGCAUUGCCCUUGGCUCACCACCACACAUUAUAGGCUGAUUAAAACCUCCUGUGGAGAAUACAUCCAGGUUAAGGAAUUCAACUGUGACUAACAGUUGCAAAAGCAUAAGUAAUCCAACCGAACUGUGAUUUGAAGAGUAGAAGAACAAAUGAUUCAGAAUGUUACAGUGCUACAUAGUAUGCUGAAUCGCUGAUUUAUGGUAAUGAUGCUUCCUAUCAUAAAACAUGUUUAACUUUAGAUUUUAGUUCUACGAAGAAAAGAAUUUUGAAGCUCUAAAGCAAAGAAACAUGGAUGACAUAACUGAAAAUUGCUCCAAAACAAAAGGAAAAAUACACCAGAAGGAUCCAGGACAGACUCCAAAUCAUUCAUUUGAGCACUCAAUAAUCAUUAGUGAAAUCAAGUGGAAAAACAAGCUAUGUGCGAGAAUUUUCGAAGCUCCAAGGCCCAGAAAGUAGCAUAAAAACCAAGACAGACUCCAAAUCAUCCAUUUGAGCAUUGUUACAAAUCCCUCGUAGCUCAUAAUCAUAAGUGAGAUCAAAAGGUUGCAACUAUGCUGUUAAAGAAAGAAAUUCAAACUGAAAUGUGGGAGAACUUUCGAAGCUCCAAAGCCCAAAAUGCAGCACAAGGAGCCAAGACAGACUCCAAAUCAUCCAUUUGAGCAUUGUUACAAAUCCCUCAUGGCUCAUAAUCAUACGUGAGAUCAAGAGGAAGCUAAUAUGCUGUUGAAAAAAGAAAAUAUAGAAACUGAAAUGUGGGAGAACUUUCGAAGCUCCAGAUCCCAAAAUGCAGCAUGAGGAGCCAAGACAGACUCCAAACAUUUAAGCAUUGUACUAAUCCCUCAAGACUCAUAACAUAAGUGAGGCGAAGACAAAACAACAAUGCUGUUAAAAGAGGGUGCUGAAAAUGUGUAACUCAACAAGAAGUUAUCAUAAAAAGGUAAGAAAAAACAAGUUCACAGAAUUUGAGUACCCUGCUAGUACAAGUGAGAAAGAAAUAAACAUAAAGCUCAGGGAUUAGGAAAACAGACACUCUCUUUCUCAUGUAGCCUUUGAGAAGGGCAAGCAAAGUUAACAAAUUUGUUUUGUUUUUUUUUUCUUUGGGGCGUGGGGAGUGGGUAGAUAUUAGACUAUUAGGCUAUAUUGGAUGAUACAGAAUCUGUUGAUUAUCUAGAGUGCUGUCUCCAGUUGGAAAUGCAAGGAGGACCGAGGCAGAAAGAUAGCACGAAAGAAGCUAUACAUAAAAGCUUGUUUGCAACUUUGCAUUUGUAAGUUGCCUCAAGUCACUUGAACAGGGUGUAUCGAAAAUUACCAUUAAAGGCAACCCCAUAUUCUUCAUUUGGAACAAGAUUCUUUGCAGCUGGAUUGUAGAAAAUCCUUAGCUUUUCUCCCUGCAAAAGUUUGCACUUGAUAUUACUAUCACAAACUGACAAUUAACAAAACACAAUGAGAUCUAUACCAACAUCAUACUUACAGCCGUAGGUGGAAGACCGUUCAUAGUUUUCCAAAACACAGGGGCCCUUCCAAGUUCAAACAUGGCCCAUGAGGGAAGUGUGAACCUGUGAAGAAUUUGAAUGUUCAAUGACAUUACAUGAUCAACACAACUUCAUAUUUUGACAGAAACAGAAAUCCAGUCAUCCAUUGUCUAACAUAUGUUCACUUCAAUCUCAGAUAAUGUUUCAUUUCCUUAUAUUCAGAUUUAGAAAGAAUGAAUCUGAUACAACUGCAGUAAGAGGGAUGUGAAGACUCACUCUUUGGCUUCCUCUACUGGAGUUGUUGCAACAGCUGUUGCCGCGGCACAUACUUUCCCAGUGCUUUUGACAACAUUCUUCCACUUUAGAGGAGACUGUGGCAAUGAAGAGCCCUUAAAACUGCUACCUGCAUUACAUUCUAGUAGUGUUAUGCAUUUGAGGAAUGACCACACGGUUAAUCUCCUUCACAGCUACAAUCUGACCAGAUGAAAUUAUUUAUGCAAAACAUGGAAUUGAAAUGGAAUUGGAAAUUAUCAACAGUAUUCAAUAAAAUCAUAGAAUAGAGUGUGCAGAACAAGUCAAGAAUCAGAAAAGUACCCAAAAAAACGAAAUCAAUAAACAACACCUGCUCAAUUAACUCAAAUCUGUAGUAAAUCAAGGAAAUUGGAAACUCGAGUAGCAGCAACAACCUAGUAAGAUCAAUAGUGGCAUCCAUACCUAAGAAAAUGGGAUAAGGUUAACAGCAAAUCCUUAUCUCUUUUACAAAUUCAAAUUGACUUCUAUAAGCAAAUUAACAACUGAAGCGUGUACACAUUUUUUAAUCAUGCAUUUGGUUCUACAUCUCCAACGAAUCACAUACCAUAAGUUUUGACACGUAUCCAUAAAAUAAUCACAAAGCAAAUAUAAAAACAAUAAUUUAAAGAACUAAAAGAGAUUAAGGAGAAACCCACCAAGAGUGUUUGUAGCUGGAGUUGCUUUGCUGCUAAAAAUUGAUGGUGUGGUCUGAAAUGGUUUAGUGGAAGACGCAAAGAUUGACCCAUUUGUUGCUGCCAUGAAUCACACUUUAGUAGUGUUCUUUGCCAAGAACAAAGGAGAUAGAGAAAACAAAGGUAGCUAAAUUCCUCAGCUAGGCAAAGAUUACUCGAGUAAAAUAGAGAGAUCUUUAGAUGAAGAUAAUGACAGAUGAGAAGCCAAAGCAAUCACAGACACAAAUUUAACACAAAUAUCAGACUAGAAUCCAAGAAAACAAAAAUCUUUAGUGAGGAUAAAAGAUAUCUGGUUUCUGUACAGCCUCACAAUCUUUGAAACCCAAAAAUCCAAACCCAAACCCAAACCCAAACCCAAUCCAAUCCAAUCCCUCGUCUUUUUCUCUCUAAUGGUACUUUGAACGAAAUCUAAGCUAGUUGACACCGCCACAAAAUAUCAAAAGUCUCUACCCCACCAAAAACCCCCAACCAAAUUCAUCAAAGUUUCAAACUUUCUUUGCUAGUUUUGUAUAUAUAACUCAAUUCUGUAUCAACUAACAAACACCCACAAACCUUCUCUUCAAUGGAUUUGAUCACAUCACCAACCUCCAAUCCCAAAACCCACCAUUAUUUCAAACUCCACCGCUCAUUUCUCCGGCCAGGGAGCCUAGUUCUUGGUCUCCGGCCACUUCCUCAGAGCUCCAAAGUCCUCAACUUUGCUCACUGCAGUUCAAAACAAUCAGAACCCAAUAAAUGCUUAUCAAGCACAAAGCUUUUCACCCAUUUUCUCUCCAAUUCUAGUAGAACAGUACCUUCAAUAACCACCAAUGCAGCUUUGGCAGAAUCUACAGAACCAGAGCCAGAAACAGAGCAAGGAAAGUACAACAGGAUUUUACUAUCUGAUGUGAUUGUGAAGAGGCCUAGACAUGUGUUUAAGGGGAGAAAAUGGAGCACAAUGGACUUGGCCACAGCUGGUGUUGUGGUGGGGAUGCAUGUUCUGAGUCUUUUGGCUCCUUUUCAAUUCAAUUGGGGAGCUUUAUGGGUGGCAGUCUCACUUUAUGUUGUGACUGGCCUAUUUGGUAUCACUCUUUCUUAUCAUAGGAACCUUUCACAUAGAAGUUUCAAGCUUCCCAAGUGGCUUGAGUACUUGUUUGCUUACUGUGGAGCUCAAGCACUUCAGGUGGGUUCAAUUUUGAAUUUCAUUGUGGGAGAGAUUUGAAUUUUGAAAUAGCCUAUAUUUAUUUGGAUCUUUAAUAGUAUUUUGAACUGUUGAACUUCUGGGUUUGUAGGGGAGCCCAAUUGAUUGGGUGUGUACACAUAGAUACCACCACCAGUUUUGUGAUUCUGAGAAAGACCCACAUAGCCCAAUUGAAGGAUUCUGGUUUAGUCACAUGAGUUGGCUCUUUGAUACCAAUUCUGUGACUGAAAGGGUAUGAAAUUCUCUGCCAAUUUGUUCUUUGCAUCAAAUGUGGCACAAAUACAUAUUUAUUCAGUAUUAUGUUUUCUUAUGAACUGUUUGUUAAUGUGAAAUUUGCAGUGUGGGGGCCUAGAUAAUGUUGGGGAUUUACAGAAGCAGCCCUUCUAUCAGUUCCUAAAGGCAACUUACAUCGCUCACCCAGUCGCUCUUGGUGCUCUACUGUAUGCAAUGGGAGGGUUCCCUUUCAUUGUUUGGGGAAUGGUAAGGGUGACGUCCUUUCUAAGGGUCUCCUUAAUCAUAUAGUCUUAGACAUUGAUGUGGUACAAAAUUACUCUUGCAGGGUGUGAGGAUCAUUUGGGUGUAUCACAUUACUUGGCUGGUAAACUCAGCUUGCCAUGUUUGGGGAGAGCAAGCAUGGAAUACUGGUGACUUGUCCAGGAACAAUUGGUAUUGCUUCUACUUUACCUCUACACCUUCAUGUACCUUUUCUCUUGUCAGAGUUUGAUAUGCUAUGCUCUGCACUUGUAAAUUUGUAUGCUUGUUCAUGUAGAAUCUUAAAUCAAACCUAGCAUGCAUAUUUGUCACUAGGAGAAUAUUAUGGGGCUGAAUUGCGGAUUACCUAGUAGCAGAUGGGUGAUGCUAUGAAAUCUCAUUUUGUUCAGGUGGGUGGCAUUACUAGCAUUUGGAGAGGGAUGGCAUAAUAAUCACCAUGCUUUUGAGUACUCAGCUAGACAUGGUCUGGAUUGGUGGCAGCUUGAUAUGACUUGGUAUGUUGUAAGAUUGCUCCAAGCUAUUGGAUUGGCAACUGACGUGAAGGUACCAUCAGAGGUACAGAAACAAAGGAUGGCUUUGAACUAAAGAAACUCAGCUAACAUUGCAUAUCAUUCAAAAAGCAUGCUUCCGAUUUAAAACGCACGCUUCACAAUUCAUAUUUCGGCUAGGCAAGACAAUUGAGCCUCAAGUCGACUUCUUUUAUGAUCGGUCCAUCCAUAUGUUUCAGAAACAAAAUUUAGAGAACUACCAUUGGGAUGGUCUUGGGUGGGGGCUAGUAUUGUUUCAGAGAGAAAAUUUUGAAUUUGUUACUCACCGAGCGCGAUUGCACAUGUUCGCAUUCUGGUUGAUAAUUUAUAAUACAACACAUACAAUAAAGACAUCGGUGUAAUUUUGAUCGUUUUAUCACUUCAUGAGUCAAAUCACUAAAAUUUGUUGCCACUAUAGAAUUGGUUAGAUGCGUAUGUACUCAAACCACUUUUUUUUUGUCUUGAGCAAUGAGUUCCACCUCUACUGCAAAUAUAGCAUUUGAUUGAAGUGUAGGUACGUACACUAGGUAAUGUGUUGCUCCAUAUUAUCACAUUCUAUAAGGAAAGGGAUUUUUGGAAUCCACUUACAAAAAAAAACAUAAAAAGAAUCAAGAAUCUUAGUACAAACAUUUGGAACUUCAAAACUCAAAGUGUAAAAAGUUUUGGUAAUAAGACAAAGAAGAAGAAUGUGUAUCUUGAAGUGAUAGAAUAGGAGACGGAAUAAAGGUAAAUUAAGGGCCAUGGUAUGUAAGCACGGGAGCACAAGAAGCAUGCAUAUUGCAUAUGUAAGUAAAUGUUUAUCAAUUACAGAUGAGGUAGUUUAAUAAGAUGAACGUUCUUUUGGGUUGAUUAUAUAUAAUCACACUUAGAAAGUUGCUUGCUAUUAAGAACCAUUUUGGUUCCUCACCCAAUACUCACGGCUUAGGUCAAUACAAAAGCAUGCUUUCUUCCUAUAUUGAUCCGAUUAAACAAUCAGAAAACUAGACUCUUGGGAUUUAGGGCCAUGCAUUGUUGAAGUGAAUGAUAACUUUGGCAUGCUAAUUAACAGUACAAAGGGUGUGUUCAAUUUGAUCAAUUUUGGUUUAUCGAACUCGAUCAAGAAUAAGGUUUGAUUAACUCAGUACUCAUAUAUGUAUGAAUCAAGCCCUUGGUUUUAAUUUGUUUGGCCAACACGUGCAUGCAAAACCUGGCAGUUUAACCUGUUACCCGUUACCCGCCCGCUAAUAACUCGUCCAUUUCCGCCCCAUUACAGUUUUACACUAAUGGGUUGACAACCCGCUAAGAACCCGCUAACUAACGGGCGGAAACGGGUUACCCAAAGAAACCCGCCAAACUCGCUAAGGGAAAAAAAAAAAAAAACCAACCCUGUAAAAUUUUACUAUUGUCUGUUUUAUCCACAAAUCUUUCCACAGUUUUCACUCUCUCUCUCUCAUAGCUGCUGCUUCUUCCUCUCACUUUCUCCUAAAUCAAUCACAACUAAACAAACCCCCAUUUCCUUUUUUCAAGUCCAGACAACACACAGAGCUAAUAACCAAGCUUCUAGAGUCGGUGGAGAGACACCCAGACCCAAGAAGAAGAAGAUGCCUCAACCCCAACCCCACACGCUUUGCCGAUCUACUCAGACGCCGGCGGAAUCUCCGGCCACGUCCUCACCGCAAUGAGAGCUUCCGACCACCUCACCAGGUACUCUCUCUCUUUCUGAAAAAGAAUGCAGCUUAAAAAAGACUCUUACUUUUUGCUUUCGGAUCUCACACUUCUCAAAGCUUUCUCUCUGCAACGAAUCUAAUUCUUUUCCAACCCAUAUAUUCUCUCCUUUUAGCCAAUGGGUAAAAAUAAAAGAAAUAUUAGAAGAGAAGAAAAAAAAUAUGGGUUAUUUUUUUUUUUUUGUAGGGAAAAGGAGAAGUACGUAUCCAUUGAUCAAAGAUCAUGACGACCAAAAGGUCAAGCAUGAAUGGUCCUAAAGCUAGAACUGACUCGAACCUACAUCUAAGAAUUGAAAUAACAACCUCAAAACUACAUCCAAAAAGACGGAUAUGAAACACUAGAAAGCAUAAUAACCUGCCAAACCCUACCAGCAAUACAACCUUCCCCGAAUAGAGGCCUAAGACCCAAUGGUGUACCUUUCAUUGUUAAAGAAAGGGUGCAUCACUGAUAAGAUAAAAACAAGGAUCUUUUCCUAGUUAACCUAGGAGACUAUUCUUCAUCAGCCUCUGAUUCGAGGUCGUUGUCCACAGCAGUGAUCUCUCCCAUGCUAGGUUCCAUGGAGUCUGAACACUCUCCCACCUGCAAGUUCUUCUUAUUUCGGCUUCCCCUCGGCCUUCCUUUUUUCUUUGGAGAUUUGCUUGUCUUCUUGAGACCAAGGGCACCCCCAUCAGCAAUAGAGAACCCCAGUUCCUCCGGAUUCAAAGGCAAAGGAUCAAAGGUCAGCGUGUGUCGUGCACAUUCUCCAACAGGGGUCACCUCCUCCUCCCUGCUCCGCCGCACUCCGGCUACUUUGCCUGGCGAAGGAAACGCCGGAACAUCACGAAUUUGCACAACCCUCUUCUCUUUCGGAAAGAGGGAAGCUCAGGUAGGUGAGUUGGGAACAAUUAGGUUUGGAGCCGAGUUACACCUGAAAACCAUUGGUGGCAGCCCUGUUGCCCUAGACAGCACCGAUGUCGGAGGAACCACUUCUUCAGAUUCUAGGGGACAAGUCUCCCCGCCGUGAUUCAACAUGGAACAUGUAUGACAUCUUCCAAUCAACCUUUCAUACUUGUAGGUCACUUGAAGAACAUCCAUCGGGGAAACCCUAAUCCGACGAUCUAGUCACACUGGUUGGUUCAGAGGCAAGGUAACCCGAACUCGAGCAAGACCAUGCUGGAAACCCCCGUGAUCCACCUGCAACACCACUCCAAUGGUCUCCGCCACCAACCUUGUCGUAGCAACUGUUGAUAGCGCAGCUGGUAAUCCUUGGAUCCCAACCCAGAUCCACACAUACAGAGUCCAAAUGCACUGACCUGAUAUCUGAAAAGCCAUCAUAGUCGUUGAGAAUGAUCAUCGCUCUCUGGUACGCCCAAGGACCACCUCGUUUCACUCUGUUCACGUCUCUCUCCGACGCAAACGUAAACAAAAACCGAUUGUCUCGAGCCUGCACUUCCACCGGAGAUAAGAGCCUCCACAUGGAGCGAACAGCGCUCCUGAAUGCAUCGAAAACAAUAGUACGGGUUGUGUUCAAACGCCCGACGAGAUAGAAUCGUUGAGCAACGAAACCACUCUUGGGGCACACUACCAGGACAAGCACUUUAGCCGACGAAAAAAUUUCGUCGGCCUGUUAGCUUAAUUCGUCGGCUAAGAUCUUAGCCGACGAGCCAUCGUCGGCUAAGAUUUCGUCGGGAAAAUGUCGUCUGCGAUAACUUUAGCCAACGAAAAAAAAAUUCGUCAACUAUAGUCCCACAGUUUAGCCGACGAAAAACAUGUCGUCGGUUUUUUUCCCAGACUUUAGCCGACGAAAUAAUUAAGAUAUUCGUCGGCUAAACCUUAUAAAAAAAAUUAAAAAAUAACUAUAGCCGACGAAAUAUAGUCUAUUUCGUCGGCUAAGCCUUAUAAAAAAUUAAAAAAAUAACUAUAACCGACGAAAUAUAGUCUAUUUCGUCGGCUAAACCUUAUAAAAAAAUUAAAAAAAUAACUAUAGCCGACGAAACAUGUCAUAUUUCGUCGGCUAAACCUUAUAAAAAUAAUUAAAAAAAGAACUAUAGCCGACGAAACAUGCCAUAUUUCGUCGGCUAAACCUUAUAAAAAAAUUAAAAAAUACUAUAGCCGACGAAUAUAGUAUUUAAAUAUCGUCGGCUAAAGUUGCUAGUUUUUGAAAAAAAAACUGCAGAAACUUCCGGCCACCUCCAAUCACCACCAAAAUUUAACAGAAUCUUCUUCUCAACAUUUCGAACAACUUUGUAGAAGAAGUCGAAGCCCAAUUCUAAGCCUAAACAGGUCAAUUGAAUCAAAAUAUAAAAAUCCCCAAUUUUAAACCCUAAAAGCUUCAAAUCUUCGAUUCUCCUCACACACACCGAAUCGAGCUACCAAAUUCUAGGGGAAUGUAGUACUAAUCAAACUCAACUUAUCCAUAUAUAGAACUCACCAAAUGGUGACCUGAGGAAGGAGAAAUUCGAUCGACACCGAAUCCGAACCGGCGGAGUUUGGAGCUCGAUUUAUCCUUCACGGCGGCGCCACUCGAUGCGCCACUCGAUGCGCCACUUGUCCAGCAAUGAAGUAGAGACGACGGCGAAGCUUUUGGGACAAGUGUGGCGGUCUCCGGUGGCUUGACGGCGGAGCUAGGCUGAGAAGAAAAUCUGGCAGGCGAAACAGACUUCUUACCAUCCACCUUCGGUAAAACUCCUAUAUAAAGAACUUUAGCCGACGAAAUUAUUUAUUUUCGUCGGCUAAACUCUUUUGAAAAUUUUGGUUGACCGCCAAAAUUUUUUGGUUGAAAAUUUUUCUACUUUAGCCGACGAAAUCAUAUAUUUUCGUCGGCUAAAGUCCUUUGAAAAUUACCGCCCAAAAAUUUUUGACCUUAGCCGACGACUUUUUUAAUAUCUCGUCGGCUAAAGUCUAUAAAUUCACGAAAACGCUCAUAUCUCCCUCUAUAUUACGUAGUUUGGUUAAACCUUCCACACGAAAAACUUUCACGUAGAUGAGACGCAACCGCCUAUAUAAAAAUUUUGAGACAUUUACCUUCCGACGACAGGGCUCCCUGUAGGGAAUAAUAACGGUAAAUAGGGUUGACCGCUACUAUCGGCACCGAGACUUUACCUGAUUUACGUGAUUUUUGAACCAUAGCCGUAUUUCACCAUUUUGAACACAUCUUAUUUCACGAAAUUUUUGAUAAUUUUGGUUCCUAUGUAGAGUUGGUUCACAAUGUUGUAUAACCUACUAAACAAGUUAUACAACAUUAGUAGACACGUUGUGAUUCCGAUGACUAAAAUUCACAAACCAAAAUUCGACCAUCAAAUAUGAUCAUUAUGACAAAAGAUGUCUAUGGUAAAAAAUUCAACUGGAUCCGACGACGUUAAGGGCUCGAUCGAAACUGUCAACCCUAAUCCAUCGUCACUUAUCACACGAAAACGCUCAUAUCUCCCUCUAUAUUACGUAGUUUGACCAAACCUUCCACACAAAAAACUCUCACGUAGAUGAGACGCAACUGCCCAUAUAAAAAUUGUGAGACAUUUACCUUCCGACGAUGGGGCUCCCCACAUGGAAUAAUAACGGUAAAUAGUAGACACGUUGUGAUUCCGAUGACUAAAAUUUACAAACCAAAAUUCAACCGUCAGAUAUGAUCAUUAUGACGGAAGAUAUCUAUGGUAAAAAAUUCAACUGGAUUCGACAACGUUAAGGGCUCGAUCGAAACGGUCAACUCUAAUCGGAAAUAAGAAAACUGCAUUUUGAAGCCCUAAACGGACUCGGAUGGCUAAAAAUGCCCAUACAUCAUGGCGUUUGCAAUGAGAUUGACUUGUAGGGCCGUUACGCUUCCGGAAAUGUUUCACAAUAGUCAAUCAGACACCAAAAACCAAAUCUGCAGCAUAAUGAAUAAUAAGGGUAAAUUGCAUUGACCGCAAUUAUCGGCACCGAGAAUUUACCGGAAUACCGUGAUUUUUCAACAGUAGACGUAUUUCACCAUUCUGGUCAUAUCUUAUUUCACGACUUUUUUGCGUUUGAAGGUUCUACGUAUAGUUUUUUUUUGCCCAGAUGAGUUGUUGUCCAGAUCUACAGAUAUUUAAAUACUUUAGCCGACGAAAUUAAUUUUCACAAACUAUAAAAAUUUCGUCGGCUAAAGUUCACAGACUAUAGCCGAUGAAAAAUUUUAUUCAGACGACGAAAUUUUAAUUUCGUUGGCUAAAGUUGAUCAUAGCCGACGAAAAUUUUAAAUUAGCCGACGAAGGAAAAUUUCGUCAGCUAAAGUGGACUUUAGCCGACGAAAAAAUAAUUCGUCGGCCUGGUUUUUUUAUUUUCGUCGGCUAAAACCUUUCUUCUGGUAGUGGCACCGGAGAUUACCCAAAUCCACCGGUUCUUCUUGGUUGCUCAGAGAGAGCUUUGAGAUGAGGCUUGCAGUUACAUACCGACGCAGCAAAGACUGUCGCGGUCUUGGAGGCCAUGGAGAUCGAGGACGCUGCCAUGGAUAUGAGCCGUGCCGCUCAGCCAAGGAAACCCUAACCCUGAGAGAGAGAGAGAGAGAGAGAGAGAGAGAGAGAGAGAGAGAGAGAGAGAGAGAGAGACGAACGAACGUANNNNNNNNNNNNNNNNNNNNAUUCAUUCCAUCCACCAGUGCCUUCCUCAAUUAACUCACAAACCCUCAUUCCUUCAGAGCCAUGCAUUGGCAGAGAGAAGGGUUUAAAUGUGUAAGGGAGUGGUAACCAGGGUCAUCCCAUAAAUGAAUAUUCUCCCCAUUCCCUACUUGGAAUCGCAACCCCUGCUGCAGCAAUUCUUUUCCUCUCAUUAAGCUCCUCCAAGAAUAGGAGAUUCCUUUACCCACCUCAGCUUGGAUCAGACUUGAAGUAGGAAAGUAUUUCAUUUUUAAUACCUGCGCGAGCAGAGAUUGAGGCCUACAGAGCAUCCUCCAUCCUUGCUUUGCUAGGAGGGCUUUAUUAAAAACAUGCAUAUCCCUGAAACCAAGCCCACCCUCCUUUUUAGAGCUACACAGUUUAUCCCAAGCUAUCCAGUGUAUCUUCCUCUCGUCCCCAAACUCACCCCACCAAAACCAUGCCAUCAGUUGGUGCAUUUCAUUGCAGAGAUGUCUAGGCAACUCGAAACAACUCAUAACGUAAGUAGGGAUAGAUUGGAUAACAGCUUUUAACAACAUCUCCUUACCCGCCCCACUAACAGCUUUUAAUAAUAAUAAAAGUCCCUUCUCUCCAUAAGAGUUAGGGUUUCGCUCCUCUAUUCUCAUAGAAGAGUGACGGCUGUCUAGCCAUUCUCACUGUAUGUUUAGUUUGAUCUCAAGUAUCACUCAAGUUUAUACCGUAGUCGCUCAGUCUCUGUGCGAUAUGGAGGAUGUUGUUGGAAAAUUUGCGAAGAGAUUGGCCAUCAGUGAAACGGAAGUGGAGGUGGUCAUGCCACCAGAGGGUUCUCGAAGAUGGUUCAUGGUUGGUGAGCUCUUCACUCAUAAAAGUUUCAAGUUGGAGUUCCUAGCAAACACAAUGAAGAAUCUGUGGAUCCCUAAGGAUGAGCCCCCAGAUCAGAAUAGGAUUACGGUGAGCCGGGUAGGAGAGUAUAGACGAAUUCUGUUCACGUUCAAAAAUGAGGCAGAUCUGAAGAGAGCAAAAAGAGGUUGUCCGUGGACUUUUGACAAGGCGUUAUUGGCGCUAGCUGUGACUACUGGUGAGGAGAACCCGAUGAGAUUGAUCUGAGUAUUCAGUGCUUUUGGAUCCGGAUUAGAGGGCUGCCGCCGGCGUAUUUACGAGAUGGGGCUGUCGAAAACACUGGACGUUGCUUAGGUCAAGCAAUUGGAGUUUUUGUGCAGGCGGCUCGGGGUAGUAGUAACCCGUGUUUGGGAGAGUUUUUGAGAGUGAGGGUGGGUAUAGAUCUCAGUAAGCCUUUGAGGAAGUGGGUGAGUUUCCGACCAUCGGGGUGGUCGGAAAGUGGCCGUUUUGAGCUUGAAUAUGAACGCCUUCCUCACUUCUGUUUUUUCUGUGGAUUGAUGGGGCAUACAGGUGGAAACUGUCCGAAAAGAGAAGCAGGGGUACUAACUGCCCUGUCUUAUGAUAAUCUAUUUCAUGCAGACAGGAAGGAGGAAUGGCUGCUUAACAAGAUGCGAAGCAGGGAAAAGGAGAAAGAGCAGGUGUCUACGGCUGGGGCAUGGCGCUUUGGCCUAUACCCAAAAAAGAAAACAGGAUGGGUGAUGACAGCGCCGGAGUUACAGUCCGUAGGUUUUGUCAGGACUCGAUCAGAAUUAGAGAUGGAAGGGGGAAUUCGGAGAAGGGAGGAUGACAUGGAAGUGGAUAGCAACUCGGAGAUGGGGGAGCGAGAUGGGCGCGGCGGUAAGAGACGGAGAUUUGGGUCCAACGGCGGAGCCCAGCCGCCGGAGAUGGAUGUGGUAGUGGAUGGAGUUACGCAUGCGGAAUCUUCUACGUUGAUUACUUUCCAAUCUCAGGGAGAAAAAUCAGGACUGGAGCGUAAUCCAUGUGUGUUGGAAAAGGUAGGAGAGGAUGGGGAUUUGGAUCUCAUUGGGUCUCGAGGUGAGACCAAAAAGAAGGAAGUUUCGAGAGUAAUUCUUAAGGAAAGUGGUCGCUCAAAUCUCGGAGAGUCUGAUAUGAUAGUUGCUGGCGUGACUAGUGGAGGAGUUGAUGGCGAGAAUCGCCUAGUUUUAGGGUCGGACACUGGAAUCAAGGAUUUGGGACAGAUUUUCAGAGAAAGUUUCAAAGCAGAUAUGGCGGGGAAUAUUUUUCAACUCAAAAUGAAUUCUACAAAUGGGCUGAGUCUUAAUUCCCUACUAGAAGGCCAGGCCCAAGCAGCUGGGGCCCAAGAAAGUAAAAAUAAUUCUGAGAAACAGAUUCCACAGAGGAGUGGUAUUGUCGCAAACAGAGAGGAGGGCGAGGGGACGAAGAUGAGUCUUAACAACAGCUCAAGGUGUGCUCAACAUCUCUCCGUGAUGGGUCCGGAUUUGACCCAUCACGAGAAAUGAAUGCUAUGUGCUGGAACUGCCAAGGGAUUGGGAACUCUUGGACAGUUGACGCGCUCAAAGGGUUGGUAACCCUAAACUUUCCCAAACUGGUUUUCUUAUCUGAAACAAGAUGUACUGUAGCUGAGAUGAAUGAUGUUCGAAGAAAGAUUGGGUGGAGAAACGCGUUUACAGUCAAUUGUAAAGUUGUGCGACAAAAGCAUGGAAAGCGAGUCAGCCGAGCAGGAGGUCUCUCCAUUUUGUGGAAUGAUGAUAUCAAGUUGGAGNNNNNNNNNNNNNNNNNNNNNNNNNNNNNNNNNNNNNNNNNNNNNNNNNNNNNNNNNNNNNNNNNNNNNNNNNNNNNNNNNNNNNNNNNNNNNNNNNNNNNNNNNNNNNNNNNNNNNNNNNNNNNNNNNNNNNNNNNNNNNNNNNNNNNNNNNNNNNNNNNNNNNNNNNNNNNNNNNNNNNNNNNNNNNNNNNNNNNNNNNNNNNNNNNNNNNNNNNNNNNNNNNNNNNNNNNNNNNNNNNNNNNNNNNNNNNNNNNNNNNNNNNNNNNNNNNNNNNNNNNNNNNNNNNNNNNNNNNNNNNNNNNNNNNNNNNNNNNNNNNNNNNNNNNNNNNNNNNNNNNNNNNNNNNNNNNNNNNNNNNNNNNNNNNNNNNNNNNNNNNNNNNNNNNNNNNNNNNNNNNNNNNNNNNNNNNNNNNNNNNNNNNNNNNNNNNNNNNNNNNNNNNNNNNNNNNNNNNNNNNNNNNNNNNNNNNNNNNNNNNNNNNNNNNNNNNNNNNNNNNNNNNNNNNNNNNNNNNNNNNNNNNNNNNNNNNNNNNNNNNNNNNNNNNNNNNNNNNNNNNNNNNNNNNNNNNNNNNNNNNNNNNNNNNNNNNNNNNNNNNNNNNNNNNNNNNNNNNNNNNNNNNNNNNNNNNNNNNNNNNNNNNNNNNNNNNNNNNNNNNNNNNNNNNNNNNNNNNNNNNNNNNNNNNNNNNNNNNNNNNNNNNNNNNNNNNNNNNNNNNNNNNNNNNNNNNNNNNNNNNNNNNNNNNNNNNNNNNNNNNNNNNNNNNNNNNNNNNNNNNNNNNNAAUGAAGAUGGGGGUGUGGUGUAAUGAUGAGUGCGAAAUGGAGGAGAUUAUUCUGAGAUAUUACAAGAAGUUGUUCACGCCUCACAUAUAUAUAUAACCUAGAAUUUUAUAUAGGUAAGAGCUAACCAAAUAUCUAGAUAGGAAGUUAGGCUUGUACGUGCGUGCAGUAGCUCUAUACAGAAAGUUAAAAGUUUAUAUGCGAUCAUUUCGAGAGUUACGCAUGAAUGGAACAUAUAUAAUAUAUAAUUGUAGUUUCUGAUGAAUUUUGGUGAAUAACAUUUUGUUAAACUUUAUGACAUAUUUACUUACAUGAAAUGAAAUGAAAUGAUUAUAAGGUAAUCAAAUUCAUGCAUUUGUUAACACGUUUAGGAAUCAAAAUAGGCCUAUAUAUGUCUCUCACAUUCUCAUAUUCUUAUCAAGUAUCGAUUCCUAAACACUCAGAAUUGGAUUACGAAUUCAAAGAGGGGAUCGGAAAUGAGUUCAGGAUUCAACCAUGCAUAUAUCCGGAAUCGAUACCGAUUAAUUUCUUCUCAUGUUCCACUUGUCUUCGUUUCAUGAUUAUUUUCCAUUCCAAUUAAGUAACUAAUUAAAAGUGUCAAUAGAGUUGAUGUUUUAUCUAUGUGUCAUUACCAGAAGAAAGGCUUUAGCCGACGAAAAAAAAAAACCAGGCCGACGAAGCAUUGUUUCGUCGGCUAAAGUCCACUUUAGCCGACGAAAUUUUCCUUCGUCUGCUAAGUUAAAUUUUCGUCGGCUAUGGUAAACUUUAGCCGACGAAAAAAAAAAGUCGUCGGCUAAAGAAUUUAUUUCGUCGGCUAAAGAUCACAGACUGUGGCCGACGAAAUAUUUAAAAGUUUAGCUGACGAAAUUAACAUGUCGUCGGCUAAAGUGCUUUAUAUUUGCAGAUCUGGACAGCAGCAGCUCAUCUAGGAAGAAAAACGGGAGAAGAAAAACGGGAGAAAAAGUUUGGGUGUUGUCGAAAUCUAUCCAUAAUUAGUUUGUGGAGCUAUAUAUAUAUAGGUACGUAUAUGUAUAUAUAUGUUGAUUAAUUGAGUUUUAUUUGAGUUGAUCGAUUUUAAGUGUGAUUGAGUUUAUUGAUUUUGAGUGUGAUUGAGUUGAUUAAUUUUGAGUACGUUUGAUGUAUAUAUAUAUGUGUUGAUCGAUUUGGUUGAUGAUUUAAAUUGAUAAUAUAUAUGAAUUAAUUUGUUGUUAAUAAAUAGUAGAUAUAUAUAUAUGUUAAUUAAUUUAUAAUAUUGUGUUGAUAUGGUAUGAAGUUGUUGAUGAUAUAUAUGAGUUGAUGAUGAUUUUGUGAUGAUGUUGAUAUAUAAUAUUGUUAUGAGUUGAUUGAUUUUGAGUACGUUGGAUGUGUAUAUAUAUAUAUAUGUUGAUCGAUUUGGUUGAUGAUUUGAUAUAAUAUAUAUGAAGUUGUUUAUAAGUAGUAAAUAUAUAUAUAUAUGUUGAUUAGUUUAUAAUAUUGUGUUGAUGGUAUAUAUGUCAAUGAUGAUUUUGUGAUGACGUAGAUAUAUAUAUAUAUAUAUAAUAUUGUUAUGUAAUUAUUAAGUAUAUAUAUAUAUAUGUGUGUGUGUGUUAAUUAAUUUGUUAUUAAUUAGUUGUAGUACGUAGCUAGAAUAUAUACUAAAUGAAUUGCGAUUUUAUAUAUGGCAUGAAAUUUCAUUAAUAAUUAGCUAGCGUUAUACAUAUAUAUUUUGUUAUAUUUUCAGGAUAUGGAUAAGAGUUGGAUUUCGCUUCCAAAAUGGGAUAAAAGAUACGGUGCAGGAGUUAUGAGUUUUAUAGAAUAUGCGCUAGCUAAUGCUAACGGGAAUACAAUUUUCUAUUGCCCGUGCACGAAAUGUCAGUGUCGCAGCGAUAUGCAUCGAUUUCCCAUUGACAAAGUAUGACAGCAUUUGAGGAGUAACGGGUUUUGGGAGAAGUACACAUGUUGGUUAUAUCACGGUGAAACAUCAUCAGGGGGUCCACAUGAUCAUGGCCAAUUUUCUGAGACGGGCAGUACAUCCAACGAUCCAACAACGGCAUUCAUGAACGACAUGUUUCCUUAUGAGAGCGGUGUAUGCGCUCAAGGACAGUAUAUGCCUGACCCGGUGCAGCCCUUCCUUAAAGUUGUCAACACUGCUGGUAUUGAAAAGUACAACAAACUGCUUGAUUUCCAACAGACCCCUGUGUACCCCAGUUGUCAGAAGACCGUUCUUGAAAGUGUGAUGGACGUAAUGAAGAUUAAAGUUGAGACAAAAUCGACCGUGAAGGCUGUUGAUGAUUAUCUACAGUACACUGCUUCGAUGCUGCCCCACGAUCAUCGUCUUCCUACCACUCAUCGUAAGGUCCGAUGUAUCCUGAAAGAUCUUGGGCUUUCCUACAUCAAGAUCCAUGCAUGCAGAUAUGACUGCGUUCUCUUCUGGGGUAAAGAUCUAGAAGGGAAUGACCUUGGUGGCCUUGACGCAUGUCCAGUAUGUCACACUGACAGGUAUAAGCUGACUCCUGCAGGCAACAGGAAACCUGUGAAGGUACUUCGGUAUUUCCCUUUGAGGGAUAGGCUGGAGCGGUUGUACAUGUCUUCACACACGGCCGAAGCUAUGAGAUGGCACGCUGAUAGGGAAUUGCAUGACGAAGAUACCCUUAUACACCCUGCUGACUGGGAGGCUUGGAAGCAUAUAGACAGGGGGUUUCCUCAUUUUGCGUCAGAGGUCCGAAAUGUGAGGCUCGGGCUCUCAUCCGACGGGUUCAACCCUUUUGGCAACAUGAGUCUUCAAUACAGUGUAUGGCCGGUGAUUUUAGUACCAUACAACCUUCCUCCAUGGAUGUGCAUGAAGAAGGAAUACAAUAUGUUGAGUUUGUUGAUUCCAAGGCCCGGUUAUCCAGGGAAGUGUCUCGAUGUGUAUUUGAGACCUUUGAUUGAAGAGCUUCAGUUUUUGUGGGACGUUGGUCAUCCCACUUAUGACAAGUACAUGCACGAGAUGUUCCAGAUGCAUGUCAUGGUUGUUGGUACCAUCAGUAAUUUUCCUGCCCGUGGGAUGUUGUCGGGCAACGUUUUUAGGGGAUACAAGGCUUGUUCAGAGUGCCUUAGCGACGAGGGGAGCAGCAGUCAUUGCAACAAGAUAUGCAGAUUGGGUCACCGUGCUUUCCUUCCAUAUAAUCACGAAUGGCGGUUCGAUGAAAAGACAUUUAUGGGACCGUAGAACGCGGUGUGCCUCCCAGAAGAUGGACGGAGGAAGAAAUUUUAGCAGUGCUUAAUGAGUACGAUUUUGGGCAGCUCAGCAAUCAUCCCAACAUUGUGGCGGCAAUACCUGAAAGACCCGACAGGUACAAAUUCUGGACACAUAAGAGCAUAUUCUGGGAACUCCCAUACUGGAGUAAGUUGUUGAUCAGGCACUACCUAGAUGUGAUGCACAUAGAAAAGAAUGUUUGCGACAGUGUGGUGGGCACAGUGCUGAACUUGGAGGGGAAGACGAAAGACGGUCCUAAGGCACGCAUUGAUCUCAAAAAAUUGCAAUUAAGAAGACAUCUGUGGUUGAAAGAAGGGAAGAAAAAAAUGCCUCAAGCUCCUUACACCGUGAAGCCUGACCAGAAGAACGUAAUUUUCAGGUGGAUGAGUUGUGUGAAGUAUCCUUCAGGCUAUGCAGGAAAUAUAGCCCGGUGUGUGAACUUCCGGGACAAUAAGAUGUACGGUUGAAGAGUCAUGACUGUCAUAUCCUGCUACAACGUCUCUUCCCUGUUUUCAUUCGACCGUUCCUUCCCCGUCAGGUGGUGGAGCCGUUAGUAGUGUUGGCAAGAUUCUUCCAGAAGUUAUGCACACGGGAAGUGAAAAAAUCUAACCUCCGGGAAAUGCAAGAGGACAUCAUUUAUAUCAUGUGUAAAUUUGAGAGGAUAUUUCCUCCAAAUUUUUUUGACAUCAUGCCUCACCUGAUGAUUCAUCUGUGAUUCAUCAUGAUUCACCUGAUGAUUCAUUUUUUUGACAAGUGUUUUAUCUUGAUGACCUUGCUAAGGGUGACGCGUGGAAAGUAGUCAACCUUGUGCCCCCUCGAAACAUUUACCGGGCGGCUACACUUGGAGAGGCCGAAGACCAGGAAGAAGAUGUUGCGUAUCAAGAGCCCAACGCAAUAGGUAUUCCUAACUCCUCUACCGUUCGCCUUAAUAAUUUUAAAACGGGUCGUUCGGUGCGAAUUCGUGAUGAAGAGCCAAGGCUUAUUGAUGUUGAUCCAAAUCAAGAAACAGACGAAGACUCUGGCAAUGAGGAAAUACAUAGAUUACCAGAAAUUAAUUCUGACACCGAAGAAGACUCAUCGGAUGAUUCCGAUUACGAGCCUUAGUUUUAAUUUAGAGAACGUAAUACAUUAAUUUGUAAUAAAAAAGAUUGUAUUACCUUAAUUUAUAGUUUACAUAUGUUGAAUUCAUAUUUUUAUUAUUUUAUAUGAAUUUUGGUGAUAUAUGAACAGGAAAUUAGUAUGGUUUAAACCUUCUGUUUUAGGGUUUGUAUUUUUUACUUAAGCCGACGAAAUACAACAUAAUUCGUCGGCCUAAACCAUCUUAGCCGACGAAUUAUACUAGAAGUCGUCGGCUAAACUCGUCUUAGCCGACGAAGAAUAUUAGAAGUUGUUGGCUAAAAGAACUUAAAGCCAACGAAUUGAAAUGAAAGUCGUCGGCUACAAGAUCUUAUAGCCGACGAAUUGCAAUGAAAGUCGUCGGCUAAAACCAUCUAAGCCGACGAUGUAUAUUAGAAGUCGUCGGCUAAAAUCACCUUAGCCGACGAAGUAUAUUAGAAGUCGUCGGCUAAAACCAUCUUAGCCGACGAAUACCCUAAUAUUUCGUCGGCUUUAUUAAUUGUUAUAUUUUUUUAUUACAUACUAAAGCCGACGAAUGAAUUAGGGUAUUCGUCGGCUAAACCCUAAACUUUUUUUGUUACAUACUAUAGCCCUAUCUUCGGUGGUUAUUUUGCGUAAAAUUUUUAUAUGACUUGUUGUGUCUCAUCGAUUUGAAAAUAUUUUCAGUUGAAGGUUCGGCCAAAAUACGAAAUUUAGACGAUCCAACGACCUUUUCCGUGCAUUUAGGGGUUUGACUUACGGGAUUGACCGUCCGGAUCGAGCACUUAACCUUGUCAGAUCAAGUUGAAUUUUUUCCCAUACAUGUAUCUUAUCAUGAUGGUCAGAUCUGACCGUCGGAUUUCAUUUUCUCAAGUUUGAUCAUCACAAUCACAACAUGCCUACUAAUGUUGUGUAACUUGUUUACCAAGUGUUAAGUAAAUGUUCCGUUUCAAAAACAAACUAUAGGUAGAACCUUCAAACGUAAAAAAGUCGUGAAAUAAGACAUGACCAGAAUGGUGAAAUACAUCUACGGUUGAAAAAUCACGGUAUUCCGGUAAAGUCUCCGUGCCGAUAGUUGCGGUCAAUGCAAUUUUCCAUUCUUUCUCCCUAUGGGUAGCCCUAUCUUCGGUGGUUAUUUUGUGUAAAAUUUUUAUAGGACUUGUUGCGUCUCAUCGGUUUGAAACUAUUUUCAGUUGAAGGUCCGGCCAAAAUACGUAAUUUAGACAGUCCAAUGACCUUUUCCGUGCGUUUAGGGGUUUGACUUAACGGAUUGACCGUUCGAAUCGAGCCCUUAACCUUGUCGGAUCAAGUUGAAUUUUUUCCCAUACAUGUAUUUUAUCAUGGUGGUCAGAUCUGACUGUCGGAUUUUCGUUCUCAAGUUUGAUCAUCACAAUCACAAUCACAAUUUGACGAAUGGUUAAUUGUUUUAAAGCCGACUAAUUUCAAAGGUUUAGCCGACGAAUUUAUUGUUUAGCCGAAGAAUUUUAUAGGUUUAGCCGACGAAUUUCAAAGUUUUAGCCGACGAAUUUUAUCUUAGCCGACGAGAUUAUUAUUUUACCCGACGAAAUUAUUAUUUUUAGCCGACAAAAUUAUUAUUUCGUCGGCUGAAGUUCUCGGGUAUAACUCGACUGGUUAAUUGUAAGCCCUAGCCUCCGCCUCCUCUCCCUCUCCGAAUUUCCCCUCCUUCGCCUCCGCUCCCUCUCCCUCUCCGGCCUCCUCCUUUGGCCCUAGCCUCCUCCUCCGGCCUCUUCCUCCUCCUCCUCCGGUCUCCUCCUCCUGCUCCGGCCUCCUCCUCCUCCUGCUCCGGCCGGCCGACCUCCUCCUGCUCCGGUCUCCUCCUGCUGCUGCUCCGGCCUCCUCCUACUGCUGCUCCGGCCUCCUUCUGCUGCUGCUCCGGUCCUCCAUCCUCCUCCUCGAGUACAUUUCUGAACUUUAGUUAUAUUUUGUGUUUGUUUUUAUUUUCCGGUCAAUUGCAAUGUUGUGGUGUUGUUAGGAAGUGUAUAUUUAUAUUUAGGAAGUGUAUAUUGUUAUUUAAUAAGUGUAUAUUUGUAUUUAGUAUUUAGGAAAUGUAUAUAUUUGUUUUGUAUUUUGUGUUUGCUUUGUAUUUUCCGGUCAAUUGCAAUGUUGUGGUGUUGUUAGGAAGUGUAUAUUUUUAUUUAUGAAGUGUAUAUUUAGGAAGUGUAUAUGUGUAAAUUUUAGGAAGUGAAAAUUUGUAUUUAGGAAGUGUAUAUAUUUUUUACAUUUUUUAAAUGAGUUUGCAUUUUUUGAUUUUGUGGCCUUGAUAGAAAUUUAUAUUUUAAAUAGGAUGAGCGGUAAUAUUAGAUCGACGAAGGGUUCGAAGGGCCAAAGGUCCGUAUCGUCUGAGGGAACCUCUAGCAACCCUCAGACGUCGUUUCAGGGCCUCAUGACAGCUAGACAUGCGAGCCUUCUGCAGACGGCGCAGAGGCAGCCAGAGUUGGGCCCUUCAUCGAGGCAGCGGGGCGUCUCUCAUAUCUCGAGGCAGUUGUUUGCUCAGACCCAGACGGAGGUGUCUGCACCCCGUAUGCCUGAGAUACACCGGGCGCCCACUCCAGGUCCUACUUCUUCGGAUAGUGGGUCAUCUGGGGUACAGAUGCCGCCGCCUCACCUAUUCCUUCCGUGGAUGAUACCGGCCAUACCUGUAGUCGAUGACUCAGGGACGCCGAUUUAUCCACUGCCCCCGCCAGUGGCUCCAUCAGCGGCGUACCGGUUCGUGUCUUUUGAUACGCCUCUUAUUUCCGCGAGGGUAUCAUCAUCGGAGACGGAAUCCGUCGCGUCCGCCUCCUCGCCCUCAGGUAAUGAAAGAUGAAUGAUUUGUUUUCUUAUAAUUCUUCGAUUUUAAUAAUCAAUUUGGUUUAUCAUGUGAUAGGCACCGUCGGAGCGAAGCUGACAAAAAAGAAGAGAGGCCCCGUCACAGGGAAGGCUCUCGAGAAGAUCAUCGGUACCUCAGGGAGGAUUGUCAUCGGUACUGACGGGGAUGGCGACGUAGUAUCGGGCGGGAAGUCGAGGACGUACUCCGGCCGUGUGGGAGCGCUCAUUAGGGAUAGAGUCCCCAUGUUGUGGUCAGACUAGGGCGAGGUCCCGCAAGAGGUUAAGGACAUGGUCCACAACGCGAUGUCGGUGAGUUUACAAAAUGCCUUAAUAAUAUUAUGUAUUAUAGUUUAGAUUUCUCGAAAAACUAAACUAAUAAACUGUUAAAUGCAUGUGUGGUUUAAGGUUCCCGAUCCCUUGAAGAGCAGCUGGGCGGACUUUGUGUAUGGGGGAAGGUACGUUGGGAAGUUAAUGAAAAAACAAAACUGUAUGUCAUAUUAAUAAUAUUUCUAAUAUUUUUGUUGUAUAUGUAGGUACAAGGUGUGGAAGAACGAGUUGCGGACCCAUUGGACUACGCACGGGAACGCACGUUCUGCUACCCCUGCUGAGUUCCAGUACAGAGAGUACGAGUGGCGCUGGCUUCUGACAUCAGAAUUCAACAAGCCUCGUAAACAGGUAUUUAAAUAAAUUAAUUAGUGAAUUUGUCAUUAAGUACGUGCGUUUUUAAAUAUUUUACUAAUAGUUUUGUUUUUUCUUUGAAGGCGGUUUCCCGGGUGAACGCUCAGAACCGGCAACGCAACACAAGGAACCAUCAUGCCGGUUCUAGACCGUUCGCUGUCUUCAUGGACGAGGCGGCCAGGGAACAUCCAGAGGUCAACCAGUACGUCUAUACGUACGAGAAGGCAUAUCCUGACUCUCAGGAGGAUAUAGUAAGUAAUCUUUCCUUUUUACGGAAUUUUUAAUUUUACUUAUAUAUAUGUCAAAAUGUUAAUUAAUAAUUUUUUUGUAUCCAAUUAGGCAAAUGUGAGGGAGGCUAGUGACGAGGUGAUGAGUGCUAUAGUGAGGGAGACAUGGCCGGACACGCAGGAGGAAGAGAUGUCCGAAGCCAUUUCCCGGAUCGACACUUCAGAUCCGAGGGUUGGGGGGCACAGCCUUCCCACCGCGAGAAAACAACUUCUACUGCCGGGGUCUAGGAAAGAAGGGCCAGGGGGUCCUGAAGACCACUCCAGAAUUUCAACGAAAGGCAGCCUCGACCAGCAGCAGGACGACUCAACUAGAGUCGGAAGUUGAGAGACUACGGGAACAGCAAGCCGCUCAGGCUGCCGCUCAUGCUGCCCAGAUCGCCGAAUAUAGAGCCUAUGUUAGAGCCCUACAUGCCGCCCAACAGGUCCAGCAUCAGCAGAUGUUCCAGUACUUCCAGGAUUUUACAGCUGCCCAGCUUCAGGGACUUCCACCUUCGCCCAUGCCUGUGCCUAGCUAUACAGUUACCUCUGCCGCCGCAAUCUCCUCACCAGCAGGCCCCAAAAUCGGAUAUUGAUUUAGACCAUCUAGAUUUUGUGUAGUUGAUACCUUAUAUAGUUUUAUGUGCUUCUUGUUGGUUAUAUAUAUAGAAUUGUUUUGGUGUUUUUUGCAGCUUGCUUGGAAUGGUAAUUUAGAAAUUUCGCGUAUUUUUUUUUUACUGGAAUGGAGUUAUAGCCGGCGAAACAUGCCACAAUUCGUCGGCUAUAGUAUUUUUAAUUUUUUUUCCAUAGGGUUUAGCCGACGAAUUAUGGCAUGUUUCGUCGGCUAAACCAUACUUUAGCCGACGGAAUAUCUCUAUUUCGUAGGCUAAAGUCUGGGAGUAAAGCCGACGAAUAUUUCUGUUACGUCGGCUUAAGUCUGGGAGUAUAGCCGACGAAAUAGGAUGUCGUCGGCUAAAGUCUGGAACAAUAGCCGACGAAAUAUUUUCGUCGGCUUAAAUGCAUGAACAAAAGCCGACGACAAAAUAGUUCGUUGGCUAAAGUUUGGAUAAUAGCCGACGACGGUCUCUAGGUUCGUCGGCUAAAGCCAUCGCCGACGACCCUUUCCCGAAGACACUAUAGCCGACGAAGGCUCGUCGGCUAAGACUUUAGCCGACGAAUUAGGAUAACAGGUUUUCGUCGGCUAAAGUGCUUGUCCCGAUAGUGUGUGUGUCACCCCCAACCUAAUCUGCGUCCAAGCAAAGGUCUAGGUAAGUUCUCGAUCGAUCCAUCACCUUCAAGCCAAUGGAUGUGUGUCGUUGCGUCGAUGCAUCUUAUAAAAACCCUAAAGUAGUGCUUCUUAGACUCGCUGUAACUAAUCUUGCAAAACGUAUACUAGAAUUACAAGCUUCUAGCACUUGAUAAACGUUUUGGUCUUUUUGGAAUAAAAAUAAAUAUUCAAAAUAAAAAGAAUAUUAUCUUAACAUAAGGGAGCCUUUCUAAUGAGGAUCAAGACUAGUUUAAGAUUUUUUUGUUUAUCUCACUUUUCGAUAUUAUAUCUACAUCUUGUCCAUUUAGUUUAUAGAUAUUAUGAGUAUAUCUUGAAAAUCGUUAAGGUAUUCAUAAGUGUGAUUUACCAAUUAUUAACUUGAACGGUUCAAGUUUGACAGAUUUGGUUCUUCUAUUAAUUUAAUCUAUAGUUCGUUGCUUUCACGGUCAUCAAUUUGGCUAAAAAUUUGUUAUUCACACACACUUCAUUUUGAUAUUCACUUUUUACUGUUCACAUACUUCAUUUAUGAUAAGAGCUGAUCAUGAAGGAAAUGUAAAGGGUAAGAUUGUAAUUAAAACUGAGUUGUACUAUAAAAAUAGAUAGUUAUAAAUAGAAAAAUAGGGUGUGUGAAUAACAUUACCCUAAAAUAAAAGAAAACUAGCCAAGAAGGAACUAAGGGUCAUUGCUGAUGUAACUAAAAGAACUUCGCUCUACGAUAGCCACCAAUCCUGAACCACUUUCUUUGGUGGACACGAAGAAGCUUUACAAUAGAAUUCGGGUACUCGAAAGUCGAAACCUAGAUCCAUGAGCAUCUAAUGCCGAAGCCAAACAAGGAAGAAAAGAAUCCAAGUUUUUAGAAGGUUCUUAAGCCUCCUUACCCUGUCCUUACCCUAGCUCUAAGGUUAAAGAGGUUGUUUAAUUAUUUUAUUUGGACUUUGCCUAUAAUUGCUAAAAUUCUAUGGUUAUAGGCUUGGUCUUUCUGUUUUUCAAGAAGUGAGCUUAGAAUGAUGUAUUGAGGAUACUACCUCUAUGAAUCGCUUUAUUCUUAAUUAUUUGCUCUUUGCGCCAUAAGGCGGUGGAAUUAUCUGCAAUGUAACUUUUGUUGAUUAAUAGAUAAGGCGGUGGAAUUAUCUGCAAUAUAACUUCUGUUGAUUAAUGAUAUUGAUUGAGUUUAUUAAAAAAUAAAUAAAAAAAAAAGAAAAAAAAGAAGGGUCAUUGGUGAGCUAGAUUACGUAGUCUUCUCAUUCAAAGUUUUACUGGAUCCAACUUUUGGUGCAGUUAUUGCAUCAUUAUGCAUGUAUACGUCCGAAAAAUGAAGAGCCAUCAUCAUAUAUAUGUCCAAAACUCCAUUACAACUUUUAGUGUUAUGAAGUGUAAUGGGAUCCAAUUAGUAGCUAAUGAACACAAACAAUCGAUUAAAGGUCUAAUGACUUUAUCAAGGUCACCACUAAUUACCCACCUCAAAUACCAAAAUUCAUCAUCUUCCAUAUAAACUGAGACCAUUGUUCGGCCUAUGAUUUUGUGAUGCAUCACUCCCUUUUAAAAAGUGCCUUCCUCACUUCUCAUGAUGCUAUAUAUUCUGGUCAAGAGACCAACAAGACACGUGGUGAAAUGGGUAAGUUUCUGUAUUUUUUUUCUUCUAAACCUGGGUGUUGUGUGUCAAAAGAAACAACAUUGCCCAUAUUGCCUCAGAGCCUUGUUUAACGGGCGCUUCUUCUUUCUGCCUAUUCCCAAUUCCCUUGCUCAGAACCAUAAAAGAAGCCAACAAUUUUUCUCAAUAAGAAACAGAUAGAAAGUAGCAGAGGGGAAAGUGAAACCAAAAUAGGUAAAAAAAAAACAAAGAACCAGUGAAAUCAGUAUUAAAUGUAGAAAGGUUUAUCUGGAUUUGAAUUGUUUUUUACUCCAUGGGUGUCUGGAUUGUUGGAGUGAGUGACUGACAAGUUACCCGCGGUUGUCGAGUAGUGAGAGUGAGAUUACAGCUUUUCACCGCCGCAGCAUUCUGCCAGAACAGACAGCACGCCGAGCCUCACUGGCUACGGGAACAGCAGGUCACCACCUCCCUCAGCCCGACUCAGACUCUCACUCUCUGAUCAGUCACCUAGCCGCGCGUGUGGAUUGGGUUCGAGGCAUUUCGAGGGCUAAAGAGCUUGUAGGGUGGUCCGGUUGAUGCCCCACAUUCGCCUCGAGAUUGUGUUCCACAAUGCCACGCUUCGUCUGAGAGUACUGAAACUGUGUCAAAAAUGGGCAUUUAAAAUUUAGGCCUCAGUUAAGUUGGGGUCCGAAACCCUAUGGUGUUCGAUCGAUCACUUCCAUUAUUCCCUUUAUAAACCCAGGUGGGGAGUUCCCGCUUUAGCAGCCAAAGGUGUUGUAAGUUAGAAGCUAGAGAGCCCUAAAAUCCAGAAGCUUAGCUUAGCUGCUGGGUGAAGCAAAACUAUAGUCUUUGUUGUUGUUGUUGGAUCGUUUCCUUGUUUCGCCAAGACGGGUGUGCCUGUGUGGAUGUUGGGGUUGGGUGUUGAUCGGUUGCGAGCCGAUAUGAAUCGGUUGCUCGCAAUGCUCUUUCACCAGGUACGUACAGUAUAUCUAUCUCAGUCGUGCUUUCUCUUCUAGCUUCUUCGUUUUCAUAUCAUAUGAUUUUUGAGAAGUAAACCAACAUUCUCACUGGGUUAUAGGGAGUAUUGGAUGAGCAAUUCUUGCAACUGCAGCAGCUUCAAGACGAGAGCUCCCCAAACUUUGUUUCUGAAGUUGUAAACAUCUACUUCCAAGAGUCGGAGAAGCUGUUGAGAAAUCUCAGAGCACUACUGUGAGUCAUCUCUAUGUAUUUUUGUCCUAGCCUUCUGUUUGAAUUCAUAUGAAUAAGUACCAAGUAGCCGGGAUUCAUUGUGGGUUGUUGAUGAUCGAUCGAUGAUGAACGUAUGUACAGGAUGGAUAGGGAGUUCUCGGACUACAAGAAAAUGGGGAUCCAUUUGAAUCAGUUGAUCGGAAGCAGCUCAAGCAUUGGUGCCAAGAGACUCAGAAACGUCUGCGUUGCUUUUCGAACCGCUUCUGAACAACACAACCGUGCUGGGUCAGUCAACCCUUUCACUCACCGGUCACCUUUUCUUCUCUUAAUUUUCUGCUCCUCAUUUCUUGCGCGUUCAAACUUGUAUUGUAUGUCAUUAACUCCUCUGUCAUUUUCUCAAACACUUUGACCACCAUUACCUGCAUUUCAGUUUCACACGAUCGAGAAACAGCAAUAUUCUUGCAAUCUACCAAGUUGGUGUCUAAUAUUCUAUACCAAUAUGAAUUUGUUGGCUUGUGUGUUUCAGGUGCUUGAGAGCUUUAGAGCUGCUGGAACAUGACUAUUGCUACCUCAAGAACAAGCUGCAUGAAUUGUUCCAGGUAACUUAACAUGAUUUUAAGAGUACGCUAUUCAUACGUACACUACUGUAUUUCUGAACUUCGUUCGUUGAAUCAGUUCAAAUAAGUCUGUCGUAGAUUAAGAAACUUGACAAUGCUUGUUUUCCAUUUCUCAUGUUUGGUGAUUGCAACAUUGAAACAAAGUAUUUGUCACGCGAAUAAUUCACAUACGAAGAAAACCAAUAUUUCCUUCGUAUGGUUUCGCUUUCGCUUUUCACUUGGGAUGAGUUUUUCUUCCCAACCUCAACCGAAUGGGGAAAGAUCUAAUGGUUUCACUUUCUCCGACAGUGCAACAAUUUCCUAUUUAGUCAUGCAUGAUUUUCCAACAUUGCAAUUACCAAUGAUGAAAAGAAAAGGAAGUUCAUUCCCUAGGUUCGCAGAUAUAGCAAUGGUGUCAUUUUUACAAUGUAUUUCUUUUCCUAGCUUGAUCACUGUGGAUGGACAUUAAGCAAUUCUCAUCUUUCAAAUGAUACAGAUAGAGCAGCAACGAGUAUUGGCAGCUGGGGUUCGAUACCCAAUACAGCAGAUCAAUUAAAGCAGUAAGUUAGCCGUAAAACCCAGCUGGUUGUGCAGGUCUCUCGCUCAAAAUCAAUCACAUUCAUAAUCCCAGUACCACUGUAGUAGUAUUGCUAGGCUUAAGCUACUAAGCUCCACAGUUGCAGAAGAAACACAGAUCCAUUGAGGACGCAAGGUUUUUAUGUCACUGCCAUAAACCCACCUAUAUAUGUACGUAGGCCCUUAUUAUUGUAGAGAUCAUCAAUAUGCUUUGAAUGAAAGUGGAUUCUAGCUAGUUCUACUUCUAUCUUCUCGAACUAAGCUUUGCGAGCUUCCUUACCUGCAUGCAUGGCUGUUUGUAUCAAAGUUUUAUUUAAUAUCUACCUGAUUGAUUGAUGGAAUGUGUAAAGAGUUGUCUGUCACACUCAUACAGUACUUGGGUAUUAAUUUGAUUAGAUGGUUGCUUUAAACUAUCAAUCAAUGAACAGUAAAACUACGGGAGCUUUUGUCAGUAGAACUUUCAAGUUCUGGCAGUCAAAACUAAUGUUUUUAAGUGUUUGACCCACCAAAAAUGAAUGAUUGAGUGACUGAUUGGAUAAAAUCAUCCAACUACUAAUAAGUCAUGCAUAUCUCAAUGAAAAAAAAUCAUGCAUAUAAUGCAUUUUCCACUGUAACGGUUUCAAAGUUUAAACGACCGAAAUCAAAACAUCUAUGCUACGAUUGCUACCUUGUUUUAAGAAUGGUAAUACUGAUGCAUAAUUGCCUAUUAUGACGAACAAUUACUCUAUUUGAAUGAUUAUUAACCAUGCAUAAGGUUAAGUUACUUGUUUUUUUUCUUUUUAAUAAAGGUCAAGUUUUUGUUUUUUCAUGGAAAUAAAGGUCAAGUUAUUGUCAAUGGUUUAUGAACCAUUUUGUACAUUAACCGUGUCACCUUGUUAAAUGAAUCGUGAGGGGAGGGCAAGAAGAGUCAACUUACCCUUCUUAGUUUCUGAAACAAACACUCGAUGGUUCACAAAUUACAUAUAUAUUACAGUUUAAUACAUAAUUUGAACCCUUUGACAUAUACGAAAGAGAGAAAGACCCGUUUAACCACAAGUUUAGGAGCAUGAGUUCACAAUUCUUUUAUGUAUUUAUUAUAUUUUAUUCAUGACUGAAACCUUCCAUAGUGUUAUAUAUAUAGUUUUAUAUUGUAUUUUCUUUCUCAUUGCAAUCUUUCUAAGUUUGCUCCAUUUGCGUAAGGUGGUUCUGAAAGUGAUUAAAUAAUUAUAGGUUGAGGACUUGUUCCUGUCUUGGUAGCUGGUUACUUGGCUCGUUUGCUACCACGGGAAUAUUGGUCAUAAGUCAUAACGCUUCAUCUCAUGGUCUUCUGUACAUAGAUUGCUUAGUGUCUACUAGUUAGUUUUGCAGGAUUGUCCUCGCGGGUGGAACAUGUUUAUAUUUGUGUAGUUACUCUUAAGUUGUGAUCAAUAAAAAUUAACGUUAUUUGAUAAUAAAAAAAGAAAAAAAAAUCAAUGUUGUGUCAUCAGUGUAGAAAGUAUGUGGCUUCUUACUUUUUUUUAUGCACAUCUGAGAUGUUGAAACUUGACCCCUAGCUUUACCACGAUUGUACUUUAAUUUGUUAAGAGAAAUACCUGGUAAGUACUAGCUAGAAAUCUAGAGCCUAGUCUGCUUGGAUUACAUGCUAGUUGGUUGAAGUGCUACAUGCUAGUUGGUUGAAGAGCUCUCACAUAGCCCUUACUGUCAUCUUUCCACGCUAACCCCAGCCAGCAUCCGGCUAGUCAUUUCAUUGCUAGAGAUGUUGCAUAUGUGCAUUUCUUGCCUGAGAGCGAGCUUGAUGAAAAGUCAAUGUGACAAUGACCUAUAUGGGUUUUGAUCGGCCAAUGUUGUUAUUAGUGUAUUACCCUUUAAACCAUUUUAUGGUUCCUUGGAGCCAUAAUAUAUAGUACAUGUAUUAUUCUUUUACCUGCUUUAACCAUUCUGCAUGCAUUUUGGGGUUAGUCCUAGCUUGGAGCCAUAUAUAAGGGUGUAUUGUUCUUUUACCCUUUUAAGUCUUUAAGCAUGCAUUUUGGGGUUAGUCCUUGGAGCCAUAUGCUUUGAUUGGCGAAUCCAAAGCGUCUGUUUAGCCAGUCAUUGUAUCAUGAGUGCUUGGAAGUAUCUAUUGAAGUGCAAGGCACAGGUCAUAGAGUUCUAAGAUUACCAUAAUCUUAAAAACGUCUCAAUAUCCUUCCAAGGUAAACUUACGCUUUCAUGUUGAUGAUGAAAUGGGUCUAUUUAAAAUGUAUAAAGCACAUACAGAGUAUUGCUUUCUGAGUUGCAGAACAUUCAAUUGGCGAUGAGCCAUCAAGACAAGGAGAUGUCUUUGUGAUCGAUGAAAAUCUUUGAAGAAAGAAAACUCACCGAAGUAAUGUUUAAGGGGCGACAACGAACUGCUGUGAAAACCAAGAAAGAAGUCAUGAGUAACGCAGAGAGGUAAUUAAUUGAGAACAAGUUCCUACUGAUCUAACAGGUAGAAGGAGAAAAAGAGAUAAUAAUAGUCCAUAGUAUGUCAAAUUGAGAAUUCAUAACAAAUCAGAGCUGAAAGAUGAAAAGCAAGUAAUUGUCUGCUUUCAAACAUAAUACUUCUGUUCUUUACCAUCUCAUAAGCUUCAGCUAGCAUGCCAACUGAAAUCAAGAUAGAAACUCCUUGUACUAUCAGUGAUUUUGUUUUACAACAAACAACUUUAAGCUCUCUCUUACUCUCUACAGGCAAAUUUGGAAACUCUUUAUAGUUUAUACAAUCAUUGAUCUUGUGUAACUACAAACACUUUAAGCUCUCGCUUACUCUCAACAUGUAAUGAAAUCUACUGAGAUGCAAAAAAGAUUGUCUAAAGCCACAUUUUAUGCUUGCGUAAAGCCUCUUUAUCGUCAGCGGAAUCACCACACAUCCAACAAGUUCAAUGUGGACAAUACCAGCUACCUUCAGGAAGCUCCUGAAGUUGAAAACUUAAUUUAUUUACAGAAGAAAAUUUUCAAAAACAACCCAUUCAACUAAAACACCUAGGCAAAAUAGAAGGUUAUCAAAGUUGAUAAUGCAGUUUGAUGUCCUGGACUACAGAAAUAAAAUCACAUAGUUACAAGGGGAUUACCUUGUGUGCAAUUUCUCACAACUUGACGACAUAGUUUGUCUAGCUUCAAAGCACAACGUACAGCUAGCCAUCAUGCAUUCUCUGUCAAAACAACCAUUACGGUUUAGCUACUAAUUGCAAGCAUACCAAAAUCAUGGAAGGAAAACAAAACAGUGGAUGCAAUUGUAAAAUCAGAACUGUCGAAUGUCUACCCUUCUGAAUCCAAAGGUGGAAAUAAGGGUUUUGAAUGAAAUAUCCUCAUUCCAUCAAACUCUCAAUCCACAAAGUGUUCAAGAUCAGUUACAUAGACUAGGACCAAGAACCUUCACCGAAAAAAUAUAACAAACAUCUAGGCCGAUGGUAAAAAAAAAAUGGAGAAAGAUUGUGAAGUUGAGAAGUCAAGUGAAUCCGGGGCAAAGAAACAAAACAGAGGUAUUUUGUAAUACCUCAUUAUACGGUCAUGGCAUUGCUUUCAUUCUCUUUCAGGGUUUCAGAUUCUUCACAACAGCAACAACAACAAGAAUAACAACAUAUACCAGGUUACCAGCUUUCGAACCCCUCCAGCUUGUAGGCAAGCCAAUCGCCUUAACCACAAAGCUGAAGGGAAAGCCAGUGAGGCUUUCAUUGUAAAAUUAUAAUACAUAACCGUUUCAGUUGUUUGGAUCUGGGCCUGAAACAUAACCAUUGGGCCAUCAUUUGUACCAUUUCUAUUUCAAGGUUGAUAAAGGUGAAUCACACUUGUGAAACAUUGUGAGGCAUUUUUUUUUUUUUGUUCGAUGAAACAUUGAGGAUUGUUUUACCUACUCAAUUCAAGCUUUGGUUUAUUUAUCAACUAGUCUUGUAUCUGAUUUGUUAAGUUUUGACAAGCAAAACAUGUAUAACAAGUAUAAGAGCCUGGCACUUCAUUAUAGAAGGAGACACAAGAUGAGGCUGCCCAAUAUUCUACAUCAUAUGUAUUUUGAUGAGUUGAACCCUUGAAUCACAGUGACUCUCCUCUACAAAAAAAAAAAAAGAAAAAAGAAUCACAAUGACUCAACUCUCAUUAAAUAACACCAAAUAUGAGCAGGUUUUCUAACCAAACAGAAUGCCUCAAGACAACCUAAAUUUUGAUAAGUAAAAACAAAAAUAAAAUACAAAAAAAUGAAGGCUAAUUCAUGACAAUUGCCAUAAAUAGAAGCAAUUUCAUUCUAGAUCCCUCUGAUAUAACCAUGAAAAGGUUGCAGAGCUGGGCGAACAUGGGCAAAAACUCAGGCUAGUCAGGUAGUUACGCACUUAUGCAUGCAGAUUGUAGACCCAGGUCUUCUCAGUUCUCACCUUUGUCAAAGAGCCAACAUACACCUGAAGAAUCAGACAGUUAAGCGAGCAACAACAGAGGUUACAAGUAUGAUACAGAAGCUGAAGAAGAAGAUUUCAUAGACUAUGAGAACAAUAGACAUGUUGGACUAUCUGCAAGGUAACAAAGGACCAUAGUCUUCAGAUUUAACCAAAUUUAGAGGGUAGAAUAAUUAGAGUGCUUUACAACUCAUGACAUUAUUCUACAGUAGUUUAAGCAUUCCAUCACUAAAGGAACCUCCUCAGUACUAAUAAGAAAACGAGAAUCAUUGAUGCAUAAAGACUUGUAAUACAACCUAGCCUAACUAGAACUCCUCCUCCUUAAUUUGCAUGUGACAAGUAGCAUACCUGUCUUUAUCUAACUACAUUAACUUCUCUGUAGGCCGGCAGGGUUCCAUGUGAUGAUUGACAAUCUCUUCAUUUCUUAAAAUCUACUGAUUCUCUUUAAGUGAAGAUUUAGAAUUAUAACAUACAUGCAUGCAGCUUCUAUCACAGAACCAAGAAUAGAGUAUGGUCCCUAGAUAAAUGCAAUUUUCUUUCAGACAAGCCCCAUGAUCUGUUGGUAGAAGUUCAAUUUAAGGUAAAUUUAGGAUCCCUAAGGUAAAGCAGACAUCUAACUAUCAGGAAGCAAGAGGAAUAUGUAAAUUUAACUCCAGAAUAAGAUGUUUCAAAACUAUGAAUCAUGAAUUUAAUUCAGUGCUUGCUUCUGUCUUUGUUUUUCUUUCCUCUGUCGAGCACUAACUGUACACAAAAGAUAAUCUAGCAAGUAGCAACAGGAAACUUACAUCUACCACUCACACAAACAUUUAUAUCCAUCAGAAGUACUUGAUGCCUCCUUGUAUUAAUCGACAUCACCAGAUAUCUAACUCGUGCAAUUUUGGCAAUACCAGCAGUCUCAAGAAGCUCCUGGAGUUGAAAACUGGAAAAUAGAUAAUUGGUUCAUAGAAGAAAGAAACUCCAAUGAAGAAGAUGCAAUGAACAAAGUAUGCAAAAACAAAAGGUAUCAAAGUUGACAUGUAAUCUCCUGGAAGUACAGAAAUAAAAUGACGGAUUUCUAAAAAGAAUCUCAAACUAUAAAUUAUUAGCAUGACAACCUUUCCUCUAAUGACAUCAGGACAAAACAUGAGAAGUAUGCUGAAUACUCAACACAAUUGGACGGAGAACAGCGCAUUUGUAUACAGAAGUAUCCCAUUAUAUAAGUUCAUACCUUUACCAUGCAACAUUUCAAUUGAAAUGCUGCAACUGAAAUUUGAAAAGAAAUACCUGGUUGGAAAAAGCAUACUUACUCAAGCACGAAAGUGAGAGCCACCAAAACAAUAGAACCAAUAACCUUCACUAACUAUAUGGAUGAUGACAAUUGCCUGUACCAACUCUACUUGCAACUGGAAUCAGCGAGUCCCCAACUGAUAGUUGAUCAUCAGACCAGAUACAAAAGAACUGAACACAAAUCAAGUAUAGUGGCUUGCUGAUGGUGCAGUCUGAUAUAAAUGGUCUGAUCCUGACGAAAUGUAAUCUAAUGUGUCUUACUGGACUGAGGGGUCCCUGCUGAGAAGAAAAGGACUGACUUUGGAUGAACAGAAAUGGCUGCAAAGAUAAUUAACACAAGAUGAUGGGUGGAAAUGGGGGAAAAUAAGAACCCAAAAAGGAGAAAAGCACAAGUCUGAAGAUGAGCAGGAACUCACCCUCAACUGUAUAAAGCUCGGAGUAUCAUAAUGUCUAUGCUUGUUCAAGGAUCAACCAUAUGCAUUCUGCCAUCUUAGUAGAGAAAGGGCACAUCUUGUAUAUUGUUCUGCCUACAGUACUAGCAUCCAAGAUUUUUGAAGCUUGAGUCCUUCUGCUAUGCAGUCUCAAAUAGUGUAAAUUUUAAGUUUCAAGUUAACAAUCAGCAUAAAACUAUAGAAAGACAGAGAACAGCAAAAUGGAAUUGGCAAUCUGUCAGAACGUCAGACUUAAUCAACUCAUGCAGUUCAAGCCAAUUUCUAUGCAUAAUGAUACUUUUCUUCACCCUUGCCAGUUGCCACAUCCAUGCAAUACACUACGUUGACUACAACGUGGGAGUUAUCUUCAUAGUAAUAUUUUGAGAGACAGAUAUAGGGAAGCUACUUCUAACGCUUGUUUAUAUCCGGUACACACAGUUCACUGUUUUCACUUCUCACUUUCAAGAAAUUUUUCACCUUCUGUUUCUUGAGUUUUGACAAGUCUAUCUUCUAAUGCCACUCUACCUCCAGAGGGUUGUUCUGCAGGUAACUACACUACUAUAAUUCUAACAAAUUCCUCAGCCUCAGAACUCAGUAAGUUAAUAGACUUCUCUUUAUACUCAGAGAAACUGACAACAAAGGUUUAAUUAUGUGUAUAUAUUUCAAGAAAUAUGUCGAUAUUGAACUUGAAUAAGAAAUCAUUCUCAUUCUACAAAAAAAAAAAAAAAAAACUUUAAUAAGAAAUAGAUACUGCGACUGAAAACUUCAACACAGGAUGGACAAUAGUGAUAUAUACAUGAAAAAGCCUUGAUGUAUGCUUGUCCAAUGUUCCAUUAGUCUUUCAUUGGAAAAAUGUAGACAUAUUGUAAUCUGUUUAUAGUAUCUGGGAGGGAAUAAGUACCUUUAGCUUCCAUUUCCUGCAAACGGUUGAAAAAAAAAUCAGAAGAUCAUUAUCAAGGUGCAGGCCACUUAAUCUAACCAUUGUGUCCAUUUAACAAUGAGACCAACUAGCUUGUUCAAAUAGACAUCCGCAUCAAACCGUAUAACCAUUAUACUAAGGUGUGGAUCGGAAUUAGUAGAGUUAGACAUAUACUGAGGCUACGAAUAAGGAAAAGGAGAUGUGUCCGUGAAAGAAAAAGAAGUUGCAUUACAGCAUAACAAGCAUAGGAAUAUGAGGAAAAGAAUAUGAUCAACGAUUAGUAAUCCAUCACAUCUAUGUAGCAUCAUCGCUAAAGCUUCAUUACAAACAUUUCUAAUUUAGUGAGUUCACUGAAAUUUGAUGAAGAGUAUUCAGUUCUAGUAUACACCCUUUUAAUAGCAAUGCAUUAGCCAUUCAGCUGCAUUUUCGAAAACCCAUGUAUUUGCAGAAGCUUUGAGUUCUAAAUCAACAAUGAAAAAGAAAGACCUGGUAUAAAAUUCUCGAACUUAUACCCGAACCAAAGCUUUAUUUAAGAGUCGAGAGUUGAGAUCAACAACUACAUAUAAUAGCACGAAUAACCAAAAAAUAAGACAUCAAGUGUGCAAAAGCAAACCUGCAGAGACUUGAUAGCAGUCAAUAUCAAACAUUCGGUUAAGGAGUUAGAGACAAAACAGAGGUAUUUUAGAAUACCUCAUUGGUGAAUUUUUUUUUUUGUUUUGGUUCCUUUAUAUCGUUUUGGUUUUGGGUUUGAGGAAGAAACAAACUCCACAACCAGAACACCUCCACAAUCACCACCACCGUCAUACCAGCUUUCGAACCCCGCCAGCUCGUGAGAAAGGCGGACGCCUUAACCACAAAGCUGACCGGAAAACCAGUGCUGUAUUGUCGUCACAGAAGGUAUAUAAGGGGUUUCAGAUAUUUUGUUUUGAUCUGAGGGCCAGCCUCAUUGCCCUCCCUAUUUUUGGGCCCUUAUUUGGACAUUAUAGGCUCACUGAAAAAUCUUUCUUUUUAUUUUCUUUGAGGAGAACUGCAAAAUCUAUGUUUAUAUUUAUUUUUCAACUUAGAAGACAUGAAAAUGAGGAUUGUCUUCAAAAAAAAUAAAAAAAUUGAGGAUUGUUACACCAGUGCACCUAUUCGAUCAUAUGAUCUCGGUUCAAUGGCUACACAAUUUUACACAACUUUUUACAGUUAUUUUAAGCCUUUAGAUUUUAAUGCAAUCAAUGGUCCAGAUUAAAUGUGAGAAUGACAUGACAUUUGAUUUAGUUUUAACUAAAUAAAUAAAUAAAAUAAGUUAAGAUUUUUUCUUUAUAAAGAGUAAUGUAUAAAAGUACAUAAUAUUAGAAAUUAGAAGAAUAAGAAUUGAAGAUCACGAUCUAAAGGCUCAGAACAAUAGCAAGAACACCAACAGAAAAGAAAAGAACCAUGGUGGUCAUCUUCAUGUUGUAAACUCAAUUUAAAUUCAUUCCUCAGGGUUUUAAACCCUUUAUUCAACUUCCCGAUCUUGUAUUUUCUUAGACCCCUAUUGAGUAUGAUUAUCAUAUCUUCUUCAAUUGUGAUUAAAUCUCUAUCUCUUAUUCAAUUGAUCCUCAUAUAUUUGUUCUCUUCUAUUCAAAUGCACAUGACAUUCAUUGAUCCAAUAUGAUAGACAAAAAAGUUAUAUGCAAUUAUGUUGUGUGCGGUUUAACAGAAGAGACC
rnacentral:lncRNA from 1 species